rnacentral:lncRNA from 1 species
GUAAGUAGAUGUUAGGCUUGUCACAGUCUAGGUGCAUGGAUUUUAUGUUGAAGGGGUUCAACAUGAAUGGGUGUAAAAGAGUUUACUUACCUAUAUAUUCAAUGUGCCAAGCCUGAUGUAAUUUAUGCCUUGUGCAUGAUCAUUGAUUUCAGGUAAAUCUAUGAUGGGAUCUUUUGAAAAUGAUGAAAAAUAUUUUCAAAAUACUUGAGA